rnacentral:rRNA from 1 species
AGGCAGUCCAGAGAAUGUUAUUUCUGGAGGAGGCGUGAUGCAAAGGCACGAAGUUCUGAUGGAACUUUAUGUUGUUAAACGAUGUCAUGUCAGAAGAAAAUAACAGUAUUCCAGAAGAAGUCCCGGCCAUCAGCGUCACUGCAUUCGCGGUAAUACGGAGAGUCCAAAGGUGCUCCGGAUAUUUGGGUCGUAAAGGGGUAGUAGGCGGUUAAACAAGAUGGUCGUGAUAGCCUGGGGAUCAACGCUUAGAAACCGGACUAAAAAAUUUAAACCUGAGUUCGGUAGAUGUGAGUGUAAGAUUAAGUGUAGCGGUUGAAGGCGCAGAUAAGAGAGGGACACCAUUAGCGAUGGCGUAUCGGGUGCCGGUACCGACGCUGAGGAGAGAAAGCGUGGGGAGCAGACAGGAUUAGAAACCGUGGUAUUCCAUGCCGUCACUGUUAACUCUAGGUGUGGGGGAUAUAUUCAUGUCCGUCGUGCUUCCGCGAGCGCAUUAAGAUUCGGCGAGGGGAGUUCGGCCCCAAGGCUACAAUUCCAAUGAAUUUAGAG